CCUGCAUUUGGCGGGAUCUGUGUCUCUCGCUGGUGCUGGCACAGGAACUUGGGAUCCGUCUCCUCUUUCGCCUCCUGCACCUUGGGAGCCCUGGGCUACUCUCUCACAGCCCCUGUUGCCCUGUGAUCUGUAGGUCCUUGGGGACGCAUAGUCAAGGUGCCAGGACAUCCUGGAAGCUGGGAAAUGUUAGCAUUUCAUCAUAUCAAUGUGAAGAUUUCUUCCAGACCAUGGCUGGAGAAGGAAAGAAGGUGUGUUUUGCCUGACUCAGUGACUAUAGAGAGAACCAAGUUCUGCAGGCCUGUCACCUAAGUCUCAGGUGAGUAUGAAUUCUCUUGUGUUUUUCACAGAUUGUUGCAGUGGCAGGACCAAGGUCAAAUGAGUUAUAGCCAAGUCUACAGUAAGAUGUGGCAGUAUUCUGUUUUGAAGCCGGGACCAUGAUUGGCAAGCUUGCCACUUGGUCAAGUGCUCACCCUCUGAAAAUGUCUUCCUUGGUCUUUGCCUCCAGCUGGGUGCCACAAACUCUGAACUGGAUUCCAAGGCUUUCAUGAAUGCACUUAUGUUUGCUGUGGCAGCUGCAUUAUGUCGUGGGGGAUGUGGAUGCAGAACCUCACAUUCUGUCGUCUUGCUUAUGUUACUCUCCUUUAUGUUUCACUUUCUCAAAUGAAUGUCAAGCAGGUGAUUUUCAGAUUCAAAAGUUCUAAAAUAAAUUGCUCAAAUUUAUACAUUAUGUAAGCUGUUAAUAAAAUUUCUUGUAGGUGCUACAUAUUUGUUAAAAUUUUUGGUUGUAAUUUUAAGCUCACUGUAGGCAGAAAGGAAUCAUUAAGAUUUCUAUUCUUUUUUAGUCUGUAUCUAAAUGACCAUAUAUUUUAAUUCCAAAUAUUUACUUUAUACUUCAGUAAUGCUCAUUGUAUUUUGCAAAAUUUAUAUUGUUCUUUUAUUUGAAAAUAUAAGGCUUUUUUUAGCUCCUGAAAGCUAUAUUAUAGUCAUAUAGUUUUAUUAUAGUAUUUGAUAAGAAGAGCAGCAACAUAUUGAGAACAGAUAAAAUUCUGCUGUCUUUUUAAUGAUUAUUUAUUAAAUUCUUCUCAUUAGAGCCUAUUAUUAAUGAUUGUAAUGUAUUUACUGUAUAAUUUUUCUGCAAUUUAUUAAAUGCCAAUGACUUCCAAUGUCUGCUUUUCAUGACUGCACACAGUUUAAAGCUGUAGAUAUCUAAUGGGUUAUUUUUCAGCCCGGCAUGGUGGCUCACGCCUGUAAUCCCAGCACUUUGGGAGGCCAAGGUGGGUGGAUCACGAGGUCAGGAGAUCAAGACCAUCCUGGCUACCACGGUGAAACCCCGUCUCUACUAAAUAUAGAAAAAAUUAGCCGGGCAUAGUGGUGGGUGCCUGUAUUCCCAGCUACUCGAGAGGCUGAGGCAGGAGAAUGGCGUGAACCCAGUGGGCGGAGCUUGCAGUGAGCCGAGAUGGCACCACUGCACUACAGCCUGGGCGACAGGGUGAGACUCUGUCUCAAAAAAAAAAAAAAAAAAAGGGGCUUAUUUUUCAUUGUAUAUUUAUGUUGUAUUCAGGAUUUUAUGCAUUUAAUCUCUCUUCUUAUGUUCAAUUCUGUGUUGUUGUGUUUCUUUUCUUGGGGGGGUAUGUUUUCUCAGAUCAGUUAAUUGUAUUUUUGCUUUUAAAGCUUGAUAUCGUGAGUUGAAUGAUAAUUUUUUAACUCGGUACACUUUAUGACAAUGUGAUAUUUAAUUUAUAUGUGAAUUAGCCGUGUUUGUUGCUUAUACAUAUAUCUAUGUGUUUUUCACCUAUGUAUGUCAUUUUUUUCAUCUUUUUUCCUUGUUUUUUUUUUUAAGUUUCAGAUACGCUUUCUUUUUCUUUUUUUUGUUUUUUUCUUUUAAAGAGAAUUUUAAAACAGAGUCAAAUGAACAAAAAUCAGUUAUUCGUCCUCUUGCAGGGUGGGUAGACCUUCCUUCCCCACGGGUUUGAGGCUAUGGCUAAGUGGUGAGCCUUGGGGAGAUGCAGGAAGGAUCCAUCCCAGGCACUUGGCUAGAGGUAAGUAAAAAUAGCCUUUGGACCAGAAGACCUGAUAGUUUGGGUACUCGUCUGAACAUAAGUCCCCAUCUUCCCAGAAAUGUCGUCUUUUGUCUGCAACAACUGGCUGGAGAAAUAUUUCAGAAAGAUGUGUGCCUGG